ACGAACGCUAGCGGCAGGCUUAACACAUGCAAGUCGAGGGGCAUCGAGAGAGUAGCAAUACUUUGUCGGCGACCGGCGGACGGGUGCGUAACGCGUAUGCAACCUACCUUAUACAGGGGGAUAACCUUUCGAAAGGGAGACUAAUACCGCAUAACAUUACUUUGAGGCAUCUUGAGGUAAUUAAAUCUUCGGAGGUAUAAGAUGGGCAUGCGUAGCAUUAGCUAGAUGGUGCGGUAACGGCGUACCAUGGCGACGAUGCUUAGGGGUUCUGAGAGGAAGGUCCCCCACACUGGUACUGAGAUACGGACCAGACUCCUACGGGAGGCAGCAGUGAGGAAUAUUGGUCAAUGGUCGGAAGACUGAACCAGCCAUGCCGCGUGCAGGAAGAAUGUCUUAUGGAUUGUAAACUGCUUUUGUAUGGGAAUAAUAAUAGCUUUGCGAAGUUAGAUGCAUGUACCAUACGAAUAAGGAUCGGCUAACUCCGUG
rnacentral:rRNA from 1 species